CAACAUCUUGAUUUUUUCUAUCAGAUUUAUUUAAAAUAUAAAGCAAAGAAAAUUCUUUAUGUGUGUCGUUGAAAAUUAUUGCUGCAGCUCGACAUUUCAUUCGGAACGAACGAACGAAGAAAUGAUCUAACGUGGAAUGCCCUGCCCGGGAGGUAAAUAAUUUGACCCCUUUUUCUUCAUCGAUUCUGCCAUAAAUAGCGACCUGUGUACGCGUAUACAAGCUCACCCGGGGAGAUGUUUACUAGCUUCUGAGAAAUACCUCUUGUGAAAGGGUCACGAGACGAAGUUCAAGUUGCAGAAGGUUCGAAGAAUUGAAACUUGAUUUCGGUCGGGAAAGAAGAAGUAAGUCGCGACGGCAAUCGUAAAGAUUAACAUCGCUGCGUAACCUGACAUGUAUCAUUGUUUCAUCAAAUCCAUUAAAGAUUGGAUGACGAAUAAUCGGAUAUCACUCGUUCUCGCAGAAGACCAUCAAUCCUCCGCCACCUCUUCACUCCAUCGAUGCACCACACGAUGGUUUCCGCCUGCAACAGAAAUGACUGCAAAACGAUAUCACCCACCAACUUCAAGCGGAAAUCGAACUCCAUGCUCAUUCUUUUCGGAAGUGCUCCAGAACAAUAUUUUCUCGACGAAAUCCAUUGGCAGUCAACAGCUGCGGAACUGAUUGCUUACACUUGGACCACAAACGUCACCAUUAGCUUUGUUCGGAAUAUCGAUUGGUCGCAAUCCAGCCGGAAUAGGUUCUACCGGUAGUCGUUCCGGAACAGAAGAACAACCUCAACAGAGUUUCUCGACAAACGAAAAUGGCAAUGUAACUGCAGCAUCACCUGUGGAAUCUCUAUACUGGGUGGACAAUCUUAGAAUCUUUGACGAAGAAAAACUGCGACAUCAUAUACCGACGGCAGCGUAAUUUCCAUCACACUGAUGCUUCGUCGGUGCUGAUACUAUGUUUGUGCUGGCACUAAACAGCUAUUUUUGCUCUGUCCCAGGUCUACAUUUUAG